UGGGUAAAGCAUAAGCUUGAGUGUUUAAAGGUUUUACAAUUUCUUUAAUGGGUAAUUUUGCUAUACUUUUUGCUAUGUUUAAUUCUAAUGGGAGAUGUUAUCUAAACUAUUAAAUAUUGCUUGUGUGAUUAGAGUAUAACAUGCUCUAGUAUUAAUUAUGUUACUCUUGUAAAAGUUAGGCAAGAGGUUAGUUAAUUAAAAUAACAUUAAGGGUAGAAAAGACGUUAGAUUGUAAUAUUAUAGCUUUUUGUUUAAAGGGUGGCCUAAAGGAUAUUGGAUAAGUAUUAAUAUGUUUAUUAUUUAUUGGAAUAGGACUAAUAUUGACGAUUGGAAGUAUUGAGGAGCAUCGAGGUAAUGACGAAAAGGUUGGGGAGCAGGGCAUUACUGCAGAGGGAGAGGCAGAUAUUUAGUGUAUUCCCUGUUGGUUUGACCUUACAUGAAUGAUGGGUUAUGUUUAUGGAUGUUAUGUUUUUAUGUUGGGAUGAGUCUCUUGUUGGGUUUGACUUUAAACCAUGUAUCUUUUUGUAUGGUGUAACCAUUAUGGUGGGGUGAUGGUAAACCCUUAUACAUUGACUUGGUGCCUCCUUGUAUGUAUGGUAGAGAUGGAGUCCCUUCUUAACUAGAAUAUUAUGUUUUUAUGUAGGUAUGAUGGGCUCUGAGAGUUUCUUAUGGAUGAAUGUUUGAAUAUAAUGUC